rnacentral:rRNA from 1 species
GAUAAGGGGAGCUCGUAUUUAUAUGAGCCGCAGAGAAAUGGUCCAGGCGACUGUUUAGCAAAAACACAUAGAUCUGCUAAAACGAAAGUUGAUGUAUAGGUCUUGACACCUGCCCGGUGCUGGAAGGUUAAGAGGGGGGUUAGGCGCAAGCCGAAGCUCUGAAUCGAAGCCCCAGUAAACGGCGGCCGUAACAAUAACGGUCCUAAGGUAGCGAAAUUCCUUGUCGGGUAAGUUCCGACCUGCACGAAUGGUGUAACGAUCUGGACGCUGUCUCAACCACGAGCUCGGUGAAAUUGUAGUAUCGGUGAAGAUGCCGGUUAACCGCAACGGGACGGAAAGACCCCAUGCACCUUCACUACAGCUUUGCAUUGGUUUUGGUUAAAAUGAUGUGUAGGAUAGGUGGGAGACUUUGAAGCGGCGUCGCUAGGCGUUGUGGAGUCAUUGGUGAAUACACCCUUCAUUUAAUUGAAAUCUAAUCCCGCUAAGCGGAGACAUUGCAUGGUGGGUAGUUUUGACUGGGGUGGUCGCCUCCG